rnacentral:miRNA from 1 species
GAAUAGACUGAGGGAGGUUGCUAAUGGCUCUAACUGAAGACUAGCAGUUAUACUGUAGCUGUUGGUUUCAAGCAGAGGCCUAAAGAACUAUCUUCUUGUGAGUUAUCAGCU